UUGGAGGGCCAGUCUGGUGCCAGCAGCCCGCGGUAAUUCCAGCUCCAAUAGCGUAUAUUAAAGUUGUUGCAGUUAAAAAGCUCGUAGUUGAAUUUCGGGGUUAGUAGGUUGGUCAUGCCUCUGGUAUGUACUGGUCUCACUGAUUCCUCCUUCCUUAUGAACCGUAAUGCCAUUAAUUUGGUGUUGCGGGGAAUUUGGACUGUUACUUUGAAAAAAUUAGAGUGUUUAAAGCAAGCUAACGCUUGAAUACAUUAGCAUGGAAUAAUGAAAUAGGACGUUCGAUCUUAUUUUGUUGGUUUCUAGGAUUGACGUAAUGAUUAAUAGGGAUAGUUGGGGGCAUUAGUAUCCAAUUGUCAGAGGUGAAAUUCUUGGAUUUAUUGAAGACUAACUACUGCGAAAGCAUUUGCCAAGGAUGUUUUCAUUAAUCAAGAACGAAAGUUAGGGGAUCGAAGACGAUCAGAUACCGUCGUAGUCUUAACCAUAAACUAUGCCGACUAGGGAUCGGAUGAUGUUAAUUUUUUAAUGACUCAUUCGGCGCCUUACGGGAAAC
rnacentral:rRNA from 2 species